ACUUUGUUCUUCUUUUUCAGAAUGAUUUUGGCUGUUCUAGUUUCUUUGCCUUUCUGUAAGAACUUUAGAAUUCGCUUGUUGAUAGCUACAAAAAAAGAUUUUGAUUUGAUUGCAUUGAGCCUGUAGCUCAAAUUGCAGAGAAUUAAGCUAUUGUUUUAAACAUUGGUUUUUAAGUUGUUGGACUUGGGGACCUAGAAUUAGAAAAGGCCCCAACUGAGAAACCAUCCAAGCCGGUGAAACAUCAGUUAACAGAGAAAAAGGGCCGGGGCCUGUGCUGUAGGUGGGAAAGCAAGAUGGAGGUGGGAGCCAUCUUGAGUGGGAACCUAAAAUGGAGGAUUUGGGAAGGGUGGUCAGAGAAAACAGAGAGAGAAGCUGAGUCAGGGUCAGUGACUGGAGACUGGAUAACGUGCAUGAAGAUGGACUUUGGUCCCAGUGUGGGAAACGCGGGCCCAGGGCAGGGGCAAUAUCUAAGCAUCUAAUAAAGGCAGAAGACUGUAGAUAGCUCUGUGGGACAUGGUUGGGAGGCCUAGCAGAUGGCCCCCAACAUCACUUUUGGCCACUCCUCCCUUUAGGGAGGGAGAAGGCAGGAGGGCUGCUCUCCAGAGCCAACCUUAGCCCGAGCUGGUGCCCGGCUCCAUGUUGGCCCUUGGGAGAACAGCAGCACUCCGAGUCUCCCCUGGGGGGAACCUUGAAAACCAUCCAUCUGGCCACAGGGAAGGAAGUGGAGUCUGCGGGAGGCAUUUCAGGUAUCCCUGAUGGUUCUGGGUUACUGUUAAAGGGCUCAGAGCCCUUUCAAAGAAUUGAUUCUGAGCCAGAGAAAUCCUAAUUUCUCAACCCCCUCGAGCUCAGACUCAGUCUUUUGGAGAAUUACUGUUUAGUGGCACGGAACACAACUCAUUUCUUUCUUUUGCGACCUCUUAGAGAUUUACUAGGUUGAUGUUUUUAGGACCCUCCAAACGUUCCAGUCUGGUUGGCCGGCCAGUGCCUGUUGCAGCUUUAAGCGCCUCCGUUAGCAAAGACAAAGGUGACAAGGACAGCCUCUGAGGAGGACCAGUGAUAUGAAAUGAUGGCUUGCACUCCGUAGUCAAGUCCAGGGCCGUGGUGCCUUUCAGUCCUUUUUCCCCUUUUUAUUAGUGGAGAUUGGAAACGUACAAGCAAACAUGGCAAGGGUGCCCCCUCUGAGGAUGCCCCCUUAGUAAGUAUUUACAAUAACUGGAUUUCUUCAUUUUGUCAGUUUCUCCAGGAGGAAGGGCGAUGUCAAGCUCCCGAGGAAGAGUGGAGGGUUUGUAAUGAUUAUUUUUUUAAUCAAAGAGUUUGAUUGCAAUUUAGUAAGAGGGAAGCUGAUGAUUACUCGGUGGCCCAAUAAAUAUUUUCUAAUAAGUUUUGAGGCCGUCUAAGGGGAGGCUUGCUUUAAGAAAAUGGGAAAGCGCGCCAGCUGCCUUGGGGGAGGCAGAUCCUGACAUUCAGACACUGUUGCUAAGAGCAGCCUGGCUCUGCCCCUCCUCCUCUCUCUCCCCUGCUUUUAAAAAGCAGAAGCUUAAAAGCCUCUAUUGUGUGGAGGGGAGGAAAAUGCUAAUUUGAGGCACAGUUCCCCUCCGAGUCUUUUUUGAGCCUGUCAUAGCUGAGAUAUGAACUAUGAUAAAGAAGGCGAAGGCGGCUUCUGAGGGCUCGGCCCGCAUUGUGCAGGGAGAAAGGGGCUGAGCUGGGCGGCCACUCCAGUCACCCGUGAUGCCCCUGGGGGGUGCGGGUCCCCCACCCCAGAUGAGUGGGUCCCCCUGGGCUCGCUGGCCCCGCCGUCCCCUUCGCAGGAAGGCUCUGUGCUGAAAAUUAUGUAUUAAAUGCGACAAGGCGGGGAAGUUCCGCAAGGGACGGGACGUGGAGGAGGGGGCUGCCACCACCUAGACCAGCCAAGAGAAAAAAAAAAUGAAAAUCAGAGUUUUGAAAUGGCAGCAAAAACUUGAUUAUGCCAAGGUCCUGACUGAAGUGUGAUCUCAAUCUUUGCGCUUUCAAAGCCGGUCUGACCACGGUUUAAGACCUUUGGGGCUGUGUUUAUUUUUGUCAAGUCUCCGCUUCCUCCAUUGGUUCUCCCCUCGGAUAAGUAGAUGUGUAGCUAAAUUUUCCUGCGUGCAACUGUGACUUUUAUGUGGCAAAUUAAGCCAGGAUUUCUGUACAGUGAGAUGACAGUGUUGAAUGUGGAAUGCUCCCUUUAGCAGCAGGAAAAACCUAUUUUCCUAUCUGCUCUGAGUGGCUGAUUUUUAUGUGGGGAAGUGCAUUGAUUAAAUUCCUCGCGGACACGUUAUAGCUCAGUUAGUUUUUUUAAAGUGUGAAUUUUAUAACUGAAGAAUAACACAUGCAGUAGCAAACAGCCCUUAAGACCUGCAAAAGUACUUCCAAAUUGAAAUUUCACACGACUCAUUAGAUGCGAUUCGUAUACCUGUCAUGUCUACCUGUUGUGUACCCUGUGGGUUCUAGGAUUUUAUAUCAUCAAAACUAGAAAAUGAAUGUUAAUUGAAUUCUAGGUUUGCGUUGAGUACUGGGUAGAUACGGAUGGGUGUACGCUUUAGGUGGGAAAAGAAAAUACAGGAUGUCUUUACUGCAGUGGUCUCUAAACAUACUUUGUUAAAAAAUUAAGCGUUGCAUCUUUGUUUCUCUUCCCGAUAAAUUCUGAAAAGCUCAAACAUGAUCAAUCUUUGCACUUUAAAAACGGGAAGUUCCUCAUACCCAUGGAGUGUCUGUCAUUGGCUAGAAAUCAGGGUUAAAGUUCAUUCAAUUGCCUCUACAAAGUAGCUCACGUACCUGGAUGUGCACAGGUAUUAAGUGAACGAUGCUGUGUGGAUUUGCUUCUUUGUUACAUUAAGGUCUGGAGUCUUUCAUUUGGUGGAUCGGAAGAGCUUCGUG